GAUGAACGCUGGCGGCGUGCCUAAUACAUGCAGGUCGAGCGAACGGACGAGAAGCUUGCUUUUCUGAUGUUAGCGGCGGACGGGUGAGUAACACGUGGAUAACCUACCUAUAAGACUGGGAUAACUUCGGGAAACCGGAGCUAAUACCGGAUAAUAUUUUGAACCGCAUGGUUCAAAAGUGAAAGACGGUCUUGCUGUCACUUAUAGAUGGAUCCGCGCUGCAUUAGCUAGUUGGUAAGGUAACGGCUUACCAAGGCAACGAUGCAUAGCCGACCUGAGAGGGUGAUCGGCCACACUGGAACUGAGACACGGUCCAGACUCCUACGGGAGGCAGCAGUAGGGAAUCUUCCGCAAUGGGCGAAAGCCUGACGGAGCAACGCCGCGUGAGUGAUGAAGGUCUUCGGAUCGUAAAACUCUGUUAUUAGGGAAGAACAUAUGUGUAAGUAACUGUGCACAUCCUGACGGUACCUAAUCAGAAAGCCACGGCUAACUACGUG
rnacentral:rRNA from 1 species